GCUUUGUUGCCCGAGGGGGGUGGCGGUGGAAGUUCGGGGGUAGGGGGCUGGUGCUUCUCGGGACCCGCGCUCGCGGCCGUCGCAGUCGCUUCGCCCGGUAGCCUGUAGCGUAGGAGUCGCGCGGACAGCAGCCAUGAGCGGCGGGGUGUACGGGGGAGAUGAAGUUGGAGCUCUUGUUUUUGAUAUUGGAUCCUAUACUGUGAGAGCUGGUUAUGCUGGUGAAGACUGUCCCAAGGUGGAUUUCCCCACAGCUAUUGGUAUGGUGGUAGAAAGAGAUGAUGGAAGCACACUGAUGGAAAUAGACGGUGAUAAAGGCAAACAGGGCGGCCCCACCUAUUACAUAGAUACUAAUGCCCUGCGCGUUCCCAGGGAGAACACAGAGGCCAUUUCACCACUGAAAAAUGGAAUGGUUGAAGACUGGGAUAGUUUCCAGGCUAUUUUGGAUCAUACCUACAAAAUGCAUGUCAAAUCAGAAGCCAGCCUGCAUCCUGUUCUCAUGUCAGAAGCACCGUGGAAUACUAGAGCAAAGAGAGAGAAACUGACAGAGUUAAUGUUUGAACACUACAACAUCCCUGCAUUCUUCCUUUGCAAAACUGCAGUUUUGACAGCAUUUGCUAAUGGUCGUUCUACUGGGCUAAUUUUGGACAGUGGAGCCACUCAUACCACUGCAAUUCCAGUUCAUGAUGGUUAUGUCCUUCAGCAAGGCAUUGUAAAAUCCCCUCUUGCUGGAGACUUUAUUACUAUGCAAUGCAGAGAACUCUUCCAAGAAAUGAAUAUAGAACUGAUUCCUCCAUAUAUGAUUGCAUCAAAAGAAGCUGUUCGUGAAGGAUCUCCAGCGAAUUGGAAAAGAAAAGAGAAGUUGCCACAGGUUACAAGGUCUUGGCACAAUUACAUGUGUAAUUGUGUUAUCCAGGAUUUUCAAGCUUCAGUACUUCAAGUAUCAGAUUCAACUUAUGAUGAACAAGUAGCUGCACAAAUGCCAACUGUUCAUUAUGAAUUCCCUAAUGGAUACAACUGUGACUUUGGAGCAGAGCGGUUAAAGAUUCCUGAAGGAUUAUUUGACCCUUCCAAUGUAAAGGGGUUAUCAGGAAAUACAAUGCUGGGAGUCAGUCACGUUGUCACUACAAGUGUUGGAAUGUGCGAUAUUGAUAUCAGACCAGGUCUCUAUGGCAGUGUUAUAGUGGCAGGAGGAAACACGCUAAUACAGAGUUUUACUGACAGGUUGAAUAGAGAGCUCUCUCAGAAAACUCCCCCAAGUAUGCGGUUGAAAUUGAUCGCAAAUAACACAACGGUAGAACGGAGGUUUAGUUCAUGGAUUGGUGGCUCGAUUCUAGCAUCUUUGGUUAGUAGCUAAACUACUUUGAAAAACAGUCUAUUGGAUUGGUGGCUCGAUUCUAGCAUCUUUGGGUACCUUUCAGCAGAUGUGGAUUUCCAAACAAGAAUAUGAAGAAGGAGGGAAACAAUGUGUAGAAAGGAAAUGCCCUUGAAGAGAGUUCCCAAAGCUCUUCCUUCCUGUGUCACCUUAAGUUUCAUAGCUUUAGUAUACUCAGGAAAAGAAUGACCAUCUUUUGUAGAAUGUUUAUACAUUUUUGCAUAUUUCAAUUUCCACUUAAAAUUUUUAAGGCUUUAACUGGCUCUAUAAAUUAAGAUAAGUUUGUGCUUUCCUUGAAAUGCACUUAUUCUUAUUACAAGCAUUUUAUAAUUUUGUAUAAAUGUCUAUUUUCUCUAAAUAUUUUGCUUUCAGUAAAAGCUUUCCAACUCUGUUUAGUAUGUUAAUUACCAGUCAUUGGUAGAAUUGGUUUUUAUUGACUAGUAAAACUUACUGCCUAUGCUUUUUAUCUUAGGCUUGCAAAAUUAAAUAAAAAUUAUUAGCCAUUCCAGAAA